rnacentral:tmRNA from 1 species
GGGGCUGACCGGUUUUGACAGCAAGACCAAUGGAUAGGUAAGCACGCCGAGCCACGCAAUAUAAUCUCGUAAAACUUGUGUUGUAAACUUAUAACUGGCGAAAAUAACUACGCUCUUGCUGCUUAAUUAACCGAAUUAUAGUAGGUUCAGGCAUUUUUUCUACAAGGUAGAAAAGCAAGAUGUCUCUCAAAGGCUUUGCUCUGUGGCGUUUGAUAUAGAGGCAUGGGAAUACGGAGAUAGUUUUAAUGAAGCAUUGGCAUUAAAAUGAAACUAAGAUGAUAAGCAAUAAAUAGAGUGUAAGUUCUCGGUUUAUUGUCGAAAAAUAAAGACUUACUAAGCGUGUAGAAAGCAUAUGUAUUGCUUGUUUGGACGAGGGUUCGACUCCCUCCAGCUCCACUG